AGUUGAGUUGACUUGAGUUGAGUAUGUGUUCUUAUUUUGUACACUACUGUUCUAGAAGUGCAGAAUACCUUGCUCUACCAAAAGUAAACCUAUAAUGACAGUGGCUCCACAGAUUAUACAAGCCAACAUCUGUAACUUGCUUUUUUGGUUAAUUUACUACCACACAGACAUGCCAUUUAUCAUGCUAAUAUAUUCAGCAAAACAAAAGGAGUCAAUCAAACCUAGCAAAACUAUUUGAGUUCAUCUGCAAAUAUAAAUGUUGCAACAGUUUGGAUGCCUGGAGCCAU
rnacentral:misc_RNA from 1 species